UAUCAUUCGCAUUUACAAAUGCACAUACAGGACUCAACGAUCCUAGAACAACAACUGAAUCUCAUUUCAAACCGGAGCACUUUAUGGACUGAUUAUGGACUCCGCUCUCUUUCCAAAACAAGCUCAAUGUACAUGAAAUACAACACGGAGCAUGAUGCACCCUAUUGGAGAGGCCCAAUUUGGAUGAACAUCAACUACAUGAUUCUUUCCUCGCUUCACCAUUACUCU